CGCAAAGAUAAUUGUCAGCCCUAAAAAUCUUCCAGAAAAUGUCUCACGGCAGGCUGCAGCGGAAACACCUCUGUGAACCUUCACCUCACCUGAACUUCUCAGCUGGGAACUGCCCAGCCAGUAAACUUUGUUUAGUCCUGCUGUGUCACACAUGCUGAUAUCAGGAACUGUUUGAGGACAUGUUCACAAGUAAGCAAUCAG